rnacentral:rRNA from 1 species
AGAGUUGAUCCUGGCUCAGAUUGAACGCUGGCGGGAUGCUUUACACAUGCAAGUCGAACGGCAGCAUAGAGAGCUUGCUCUCUGAUGGCGAGUGGCGAACGGGUGAGUAAUAUAUCGGAACGUGCCCAGUAAUGGGGAGUAACUAGCCGAAAGGUUAGCUAAUACCGCAUACGACCUACGGGUGAAAGCAGGGGAUCUUAGGACCUUGCGUUAUUGGAGCGGCCGAUAUCUGAUUAGCUUGUUGGUAGGGUAAAAGCCUACCAAGGCAACGAUCAGUAGCUGGUCUGAGAGGACGAUCAGCCACACUGGAACUGAGACACGGUCCAGACUCCUACGGGAGGCAGCAGUGGGGAAUUUUGGACAAUGGGGGAAACCCUGAUCCAGCCAUCCCGCGUGAGUGAAGAAGGCCUUCGGGUUGUAAAGCUCUUUCGAAAGUGAAGAAAACUUAUUUCGUAAUAUGUUAUAAGUAUGACGGUAACUUUAGAAGAAGCACCGGCUAACUACGUGCCAGCAGCCGCGGUAAUACGUAGGGUGCGAGCGUUAAUCGGAAUUACUGGGCGUAAAGCGUGCGCAGGCGGUUUUGUAAGUCAGAUGUGAAAUCCCCGAGCUUAACUUGGGAACUGCGUUUGAAACUACAAGACUAGAGUGUGUCAGAGGGGGGUAGAAUUCCACGUGUAGCAGUGAAAUGCGUAGAGAUGUGGAGGAAUACCAAUGGCGAAGGCAGCCCCCUGGGAUAACACUGACGCUCAUGCACGAAAGCGUGGGGAGCGAACAGGAUUAGAUACCCUGGUAGUCCACGCCCUAAACGAUGUCAACUAGUUGUUGGUGGAGUAAGAUCCAUGAGUAACGUAGCUAACGCGUGAAGUUGACCGCCUGGGGAGUACGGUCGCAAGAUUAAAACUCAAAGGAAUUGACGG